UACGGGGGGAGCAAGCGUUGUUCGGAUUUACUGGGCGUAAAGGGCGCGUAGGCGGCCUCCGCAAGUCAAUUGUGAAAUCUCCGAGCUUAACUCGGAAAGGUCAACUGAUACUGCGGGGCUAGAGUGCGGAAGGGGCAACUGGAAUUCCUGGUGUAGCGGUGAAAUGCGCAGAUAUCAGGAGGAACACCGAUGGCGAAGGCAGGUCUCUGGGCCACUACUGACGCUGAGAAGCGAAAGCAUGGGGAGCGAACAGG
rnacentral:rRNA from 1 species